CAGUAUCUCGUAAACGUCUGAUGAAGAAGUACAUGUUACAAGGCUUAUACGUCAAAUCUAUAGAACACCUGAAUAUAACUGACUUCCCAAUAUUUCAAUAUUCCAGGUCCCAUAGCUAUAUCGGAUGUCGAUUAAUACGAAACAUGAGAAGUCAAUCAAUCGAUAUGUUCAAUGGCACGUAAUCUUGAUAAAAGCUGUACAAACUUGCAGUCCUUUCCUUGUUUAUAACGGGAAAUUGAAUACUUUGUAAUUAAAUUGUAGAAACAGAAGCAAUAAAAUGUUGCGUGGCCUGUCGCAAUAACGUAACGAAUCGAUAUAAUGGUUGCCACAGAUUAAUUAAUUAAUAUCAAUCCCGCGAUCCUCCAUCGCAGCUGUCUUUAUUUCCGCGUAGUUUGUAUCGAAUUCGUCGCGUUUCAUCGUGAGAAAUCUUCAGCCGUUCCAAAAGUUUCGUAAAGAUUAAUCCUUCAUAAUUGAAGAGCGGAAGUAGAUAAAGUUGCCAGUAUCGAAACUAAAGUUUUCUGGGAAACGACUGUUUAUGAGAAAUUGUUUGUUUAUGGGAAUGUUAUUUAUUAGAAAAAUAUAACGAUACUUAUUUAUUACGCAUAUUAUAAUACUUUAUAUAAUUUUACGAUAUCUCUAUUCUAUCGUUUCAAAGAUCUGUUAAUUAACGAUAAAAAAAAUAUCUUCUUUAUAUCUUAAGAGAAGAUAUGUAAGUCCAUUAUGUAGUUUGCUUAAGAAGGUCAGUAGAGAUUUUCUUAUCUGAUGGGAUAAUUGAGGCAGAUUUAUCUACGCACAUGUUCAAGCACGAUGGAGGGAGUUUGCUGGCACAUGGUGCACACAGUCUAAUUUAGGGAACUAAUCGUAUAACAUACAUCAUACACAACCUAUAUCACGUAUGAAACGUUAAAAACUGUACGAAUUAUUAUGAUUACACUUCCCUUCAUAUUUAGUGAUAAUAACCUUCAUACAAACAACCUCUUCAAGGAAAAACAAAAUUCUUUUUCGAAAAUGGCACUUCCAAUUCUUCUUAUUCUCACUAUUUAAUUGCUAGCCGUAUCAAGUAACAACGAAAAAAAUAAUAAUAUCUAAACGUUAAGCAGGUCCAUAUUUUGGGGGAUACAAUUAAAAAAGUAAAUCGUCGGUGGAAUAUUGUUUCACCUAUCAAGAAUUUUGGAAGAUAUAAUUAGAAAGGUACAACCUGGGUAGAAAAUUGUACUCCUUAUCGAGCAUUUUUGAAAAUAUAAUUGAGAAAGUGGAAUCUGGAUAGAAAAUUGUUUUACCUACGAAGCAUUAUAAAAAUCCUCCCGUUGGUAACGGAUUCGUUAUCAAGCCUGAGGCCCUCGUCACUAGUGUAACUAUCGACAAUAAAGGUACCCCACGCGCGACCGGGCGAUGGAGAACUUCAACGCAGAACCGCUACCUCCCGCGAGCCUUCCCCGGGAGGGCGCCUCGAGCUCGGACUCGGAAUGUGACUCGAGCUCGGAUUCGGAUUCAGACUCGACAUCAGAAGUGGCAUCCGAACACACGUUGUCGGCACGGGAUCGUAAGAGUAUCGUGCGCGCACUAAAGCGGUCGCUAGGGAAGAAGAAGAGGAAGAAGAAGAAGAAAGGA